rnacentral:rRNA from 1 species
UACGGAGGGAGCUAGCGUUGUUCGGAAUUACUGGGCGUAAAGCGUGCGCAGGCGGUUUGUAAGACAGAGGUGAAAUCCCCGGGCUCAACCUGGGAACUGCCUUUGUGACUGCAAGGCUUGAGUGCGGCAGAGGGGGAUGGAAUUCCGCGUGUAGCAGUGAAAUGCGUAGAUAUGCGGAGGAACACCGAUGGCGAAGGCAAUCCCCUGGGCCUGCACUGACGCUCAUGCACGAAAGCGUGGGGAGCAAACAGG